rnacentral:rRNA from 1 species
UGGUCCUACGGGAGGCAGCAGUGGGGAAUAUUGCACAAUGGGGGAAACCCUGAUGCAGCGACGCCGCGUGAGCGAUGAAGUAUUUCGGUAUGUAAAGCUCUAUCAGCAGGGAAGAAAAUGACGGUACCUGACUAAGAAGCCCCGGCUAACUACGAGCCAGCAGCCGCGGUAAUACGUAGGGGGCAAGCGUUAUCCGGAUUUAUUGGGUUUAAAGGGAGCGGAGGCGGUGUGAUAAGUUAGAGGUGAAAUG